CAUAAAAAUAUUGUGUUUAUUUGAGUUCUACUUCAACAAGUACAUGUUUUUCAAAUUUGCUCUGGCGGCCAUCUUGAAAAUUGGCAGCAAUAUUACAUUUUAUGUUGGAUAUCGUACUUUUCUUAAAAUAUGUAUCCUAAACGUCAUCUGUGCCAAUUUUGGUGCUUGUAUCACCAAGUGAAAGAUUCUUAUGAAAUGUUUGGAUAAUCUGCCCCACUAUAGUUUUCGUCUUUCCUCUCUGUUCCUCGUUCGUGCCCUUAUUUUGUAGUCACUUCCUCUGUUGCUGUGUUCUGCUUUCCGUUCCUUGCCAUUUUCUCCCGCACCUGUUUUCAAUUUCCACACUCCCUAUUUAGUUCAGGUGUGUGCUCUUUCAUUUGUCGGUUCAUUGUCUUGUGUUGAGUUUGCCUUGCUACUGCGCCUUACAGCUGCAUAGCACGAAUAAAUAUAUUUUUACCUGCAUUUGGGUCCUAAUCUCUGCAUCCUUGGGUCGAACCAUAAAGCUCACAAGCCGGACCGUGACAAAAUCGCCAUUUCUGGAAGUGACGGAAGCACUCACCUAAAGCAGAGUAAACCAUCCCUUCUCAAGGGUUUCCUCUAGGUUUUUCUGAAGCUGGUGGUGAGGUGCUUGGGACUGCCUCUGAAUAAAAUCUGGAGGAAACUGAGCUGCAGACCAGAUGGGCAGAUACAAGGCGCUUCAUCACAGAAAAAAUAUGGGCAACAAACCAACAAAAAACCCACUUAGAGUCAGAAUGUGAGCAGGUUACUGGAACCUAAAUACGUGCAAGUAAAUUGAUUUUAGAUCCAUUGCAUCUUGUUGCUCUUUGUUUUAUGAUCACCUUCUUAAUGUAUGUAUUUGUUAUGUGUAUUUAUUAAAUGUUGG